CCCGCAUUCCAAACACUCUUUCCCUCUAUAUUGGUCUCCUCAUUUUCAUUUAAUCUUACUGUCAAUGACUCAAAUCAGUCGUUUAAGAACAUUGCUUGGUUAAGAACUUGCUCUUGGGCUGUACUAAAGCUCAAAAGAAAUGGAUCGAAAUAGUUCUGGUGGUGAUGCUGAAUUUUGACUGGGAUACUGAAGAUGAACUGGAAAUUGAUAAUUCCUCCUCUCGCUCAGGAGUGUCACUUACCAAUGGGGAAGCUGUCUUGGGUACACGGAGGUGAGCUCGUCUGCUGAUUCUUCCAAUUCCAAGUUAAUUGAUCAUUUUGUUGGAAUGGGGUUUUCCGAGGAACUUGUAGCAAAAGCCAUUGAGGAAAAUGGUAAAGCUUCUAGGUCUUUUCUACUUGGAGAAUAAGUUUAAAUCAUAAGCUCAUUUAUGAUUCUGCUUUACUA